CAAUUGCAGCAGGAAACGACAAAGCAGUAGAAUUAUUACUUGCUAUUCCAUCAAUCAAUCUGACACUUCGUAACAACAAGGAUUUUAAUCUACUAAUUUUUGCUGCAUUCAAGGGAAAUGAUAAUGCGACAGAAAAACUGUUAGAAAAAUCCCCAGAGCUCUCUAAAACUACGAAAAAGAUGGAUUUUCGGUCCUGCAUGUUGCUGCUAUCAAUGAUCAUCAAGAUGUUGCAGAAACUCUUUUAACAAAGGGUGACACAGACAUUAAUCUUAAGAAUGAAGGAGGCUUAACUCCUCUUCACGUUGCAUGUCAUGAAGCAUAUUUUGAAAUGGUUGAGCUGCUAAUCGAAAACGAUGCCGAUGUCAACACAAAGAGUAAUACUGGGCAUACACCUUUACACGUCACGCUUGGUGUUGAACAACAGAAACUUCCAGGUCUGUUAGGAUUAAUGUUGAGUCGACCAAAUGACGAGAGCGAACGGGUGAAAAUCGCCUGUUUGUUAAUUGACAACGAUGCAGACACUACAAUCAAAGAUAAUACAGGGAAAACCCCCUUCAAAUAUGCAAAAGUCCGAGAGUACGGGACGGAGUUCUUAACUUCAUAAAGCGAAUGCAACAAAGGAAAAGUCAGAGUGGAGCAACAGCCGCAGGUGAUCCAUUUUUGGCCCUUUUGUCUGCCUUGCUAGUUUUGCCUUGCAUUUCAUGUAACGACAAUGUUGCCAACGCAACUUUCCGUCCAUGCGGUCAUAAAAUUGUGUGUGCUGAAUGUAGCGUUCGUUUUGACGUAUGUCCAAAGUGUAGAACUGAUGUUGAAGCACGAAUUGAUGACGAGGGAAGACGCAUCGUAUUAGAAAAUCCCUGUCAAGUGCAGUAAAAACAAUGGAGGAUAGAAUUUACCCGUCAAGACAUGAAGUGAACAAAGUUGUUAACCUAUAUGUAGUUUUAAUGAGACUGUAUUUUAUAUAAGUUGUCUCCCAUGCAUGUUAUGUAUAUUCUUAAAUCAUCUUUGAAUGCUUCUCAGUAAAUAAUAUUAUUCUUAACAAGGAGUAGUAGAUAGCAAAUUAAAACAAUUAUCCAAUGCGAUAGAUUACUAUCCAACACGGAAGACAACUGCCAUGUACUUAGUAAUUUAUGUCGUAAGAUCGUUUGAAAAGAAAUAUGAUUGAUGACGGUUAUAAGUCAUCAUAAUAAAGAUAUAGACGUUUAUUUCUAGGAAUAUUUAUACGCUCAUGUUAAUAAUCACUUAUUAUAAAAUGUAUUAAAACGUUAGAAUUAC